rnacentral:rRNA from 1 species
GACGAACGCUGGCGGCGUGCUUAACACAUGCAAGUCGAGCGGUAAGGCCCUUUCGGGGGUACACGAGCGGCGAACGGGUGAGUAACACGUGGGUGACCUGCCCUCAGCUCUGGGAUAAGCCUGGGAAACUGGGUCUAAUACUGGAUAUGACUCCACGGUGCAUGUCGUGGGGUGGAAAGCCCUGUGCGGCUGAGGAUGGGCCCGCGGCCUAUCAGCUUGUUGGUGGGGUGANGGCCUACCAAGGCGACGACGGGUAGCCGGCCUGAGAGGGCGACCGGCCACACUGGGACUGAGACACGGCCCAGACUCCUACGGGAGGCAGCAGUGGGGAAUCUUGCGCAAUGGGCGAAAGCCUGACGCAGCGACGCCGCGUGAGGGAUGACGGCCUGG